rnacentral:rRNA from 1 species
UACGGGGGGGGCAAGCGUUGUUCGGAAUUACUGGGCGUAAAGGGCUCGUAGGCGGCCAACUAAGUCAGACGUGAAAUCCCCAGGCUCAACCUGGGAACUGCGUCUGAUACUGGAUGGCUUGAAUCCGGGAGAGGGAUGCAGAAUUCCAGGUGUAGCGGUGAAAUGCGUAGAUAUCUGGAGGAAUACCCGUGGCGAAGGCGGCCAGCUGGGCCGGUUCUGACGCUGAGGCGCGAAAGCGUGGGGAGCAAACAGG